UACGUAGGGGGCUAGCGUUAUCCGGAAUUACUGGGCGUGAAGGGUGCGUAGGUGGUUUCUUAAGUCAGAGGUGAAAGGCUACGGCUCAACCGUAGUAAGCCUUUGAAACUGGGGAACUUGAGUGCAGGAGAGGAGAGUGGAAUUCCUAGUGUAGCGGUGAAAUGCGUAGAUAUUAGGAGGAACACCAGUUGCGAAGGCGGCUCUCUGGACUGUAACUGACACUGAGGCACGAAAGCGUGGGGAGCAAACAGG
rnacentral:rRNA from 1 species